rnacentral:rRNA from 1 species
GACGAACGCUGGCGGCGUGCCUAAUACAUGCAAGUAGAACGCUGAAGCGAGGAGCUUGCUCUUCUUGGAUGAGUUGCGAACGGGUGAGUAACGCGUAGGUAACCUGCCUUGUAGCGGGGGAUAACUAUUGGAAACGAUAGCUAAUACCGCAUAACAAUGGAUGACACAUGUCAUUUAUUUGAAAGGGGCAAUUGCCCCACUACAAGAUGGACCUGCGUUGUAUUAGCUAGUAGGUGAGGUAAUGGCUCACCUAGGCGACGAUACAUAGCCGACCUGAGAGGGUGAACCGCCCCACUGGGACUGGGACCCGGCCCAGACUCCCUCGGGAGGCAGCAGUAGGGGAUCUUCGGCAAAGGGGGCAAACCUGACCGAGGCACGCCGCGUGGGUGAAGAAGGUCUUCGGAGCGGAAAGCUCUGUUUUAAGUCAAGAACGAGUGGGAGAGUGGAAAGUUCACACUGUGACGGUAGCUUACCAGAAAGGGACGGCUAACUACGUG